rnacentral:lncRNA from 1 species
GAGCUGUGAGGAUGAGCACACUUGAUAACUUGAUAGCUUACGUGUAAAAGAGUCAGUUAGCUGAGUCAGCUACUUGGUUAACCAAUUGGUUUAGCGUGUAUAGAAUAUAAAACAGAUUUAGUUUACAUUGUAACCAAGUAUAAAUAAAGAGCUGUAAGCACGAUUGUGUGGUUGAGUUUUAUUCAAUAAAUUCCAGAUUCUUCUUCAUAACUUUUCUUCGUUUUCUCAUUGUUUUUCUUACUCUCCAAACACAUAAUUACAGAUUCUUUCAUGGUAUCAGAGCAAUCAAUGAUGAGCUCGAAUCAAACCUCUGGAUCUUAUAGUUUUGUUACUCCUGUGAAACUCGACCAGAAUAACUUCAUUGUUUGGAGAACUCAGAUUUUAACAACGAUUAAAGGUAACAGGUUGGAGAGCUUUAUCAAUGGUGAUCGAGCCUGUCCAGAGCAAUUUCUUCCAUCAGCUGUCACUGGAGCUAUUGAUUCAACAAGAUCAAAGGAUUGAGAAAUUAAUCCAGAGUUUUUAGCUUAGGUGAAGACUGAUCAGUUGAUUCUGAGUUGGAUGAUGUCAUCAAUUCAACAAAAUUUGCUGGCAACGGUGAUUCAUUGCUCUACUGCUAAAGAGCUUCUGGACACACUUACUAGUAUGUUUAUCUCACAAUCUCAGGCUAGAAUAAUGCCUCUUAAAAUGCAGAUUCAAACACUUAAAAAAGGCUCAAUGUCAAUGAUUGAUUAUUUUGCUAAAAUGAAAAGGUUAUCUGAUAGCUUAGCUCUGGCUGGAAAACCUGUUGAAUUGAAUGAUUUUGUUCAAUAUGUUUUGACUGGAUUGGAUUCCUCAGAUUAUGAGUCUCUUGUUACGAGCGUCUUAGCUAGAGGUGACAAGAUUAAUCUUGAUGAGUUUUACUCUUUACUGUUAAGUCAUGAGAAUAGAGUUGAGCAGAAGAGAGGCAAAAUUGCUAGUGAUGUUACUCAUAAUUUGUCAGCUAAUAUGGCAUAAAAACAGUUUAAUUCUGGAAAAAAUGCUGGUGGUAAUCCAAGAUAUAAUAAUAAUAUAACUUAUGGUGGAGGUGUCUAUGGAAAUUUUGCUAAUGGAAAUGGUAUGGGACAAUCUGGUGAUGGUAAUUCAACUAUCAUUUGUCAAAUCUGUUUUAUACCGGGUCAUGGAGCUCACAAGUGCAAGAAUAGGUACAAUUCUGCUUUUGUACCUUCAAGGAAUCAAGCAAGAGGAAAUUUUAAUGGCAAUUUUAGGGCUGGUCAAAGGAAUUUUGGAAGGGGAUUUGGAAAUUCAGGUGGCAGAUUUUUUAAUGGUGCUUAUGGCAGAGGGUUUAAUUCUCAAUUUGGCAAUGUCUUUACUAAACAUAAUGCUGGAAAUUUCAAUUUGCCAAGAGGUCCAGGAUAUCAAAGCUAUGUGAUGUGCUCAGAUCCAGCUGCUUUUUAUGUUACUCAACCUGGUAGCUCCACUAAUGCAAGUUCUUCUGCUUCUGGUUUUGGUUUUACUGGAGAUUACAGUGGCUGCUCUCCUUCCGCACCCACAGUUCCUACUCCUGAGAUGGUUGAAGAUCCCACCUGGUACAUUGACAGUGGUGCAACUAAUCAUAUCACCAAUGAUGCAGGUAAACUUCUUGAACCAAAAUCUUAUAGUGGAAGUGAAAAGUUGCUUGUUGGUAAUGGUUCUUCUCUGCAUAUUAAACAAGUUGGAUCAGUAUUGCUAGCCACAACUACAUCUGAAUCUUUGUUGCUAAGUCAUGUUCUUUAUGUUCCUCAAAUAACAAUUCCAGAUUCUUCUUCAUAACUUUUCUUCGUUUUCUCAUUGUUUUUCUUACUCUCCAAACACAUAAUUACAGAUUCUUUCAUGGUAUCAGAGCAAUCAAUGAUGAGCUCGAAUCAAACCUCUGGAUCUUAUAGUUUUGUUACUCCUGUGAAACUCGACCAGAAUAACUUCAUUGUUUGGAGAACUCAGAUUUUAACAACGAUUAAAGGUAAC